rnacentral:lncRNA from 1 species
UGGAAGAAAAGUGUUCCCAAACUCAAUCUGUUGUUGAUCUCGUCAUCAACUUUUCUUCUUAUCUUUCUACUGACAGUAUGAUGAAUUUCCUUCUCAAGUGAAGCUUUUUGCUUGCUCCUCUCUUGAAAUUAUUAUCAUACAACUGCGCAUCCACGAUCUGUCUGUUUUACACUUUUAUUUCUUAAACAACACACAUCGUUAGACA